rnacentral:rRNA from 1 species
GACGAACGCUGGCGGCGUGCUUAACACAUGCAAGUCGAACGAAGAGCGAUGGAAGCUUGCUUCUAUCAAUCUUAGUGGCGCACGGGUGAGUAACGCGUAAUCAACCUGCCCUUCAGAGGGGGACAACAGUUGGAAACGACUGCUAAUACCGCAUACGAUCUAAUCUCGGCAUCGAGGAUAGAUGAAAGGUGGCCUCUACAUGUAAGCUAUCACUGAAGGCGGGGAUUGCGUCUGAUUAGCUAGCUGGGGGGGUAACGGCCCACCAAGGCGAUGAUCAGUAGCCGGUCUGAGAGGGUGAACGGCCACAUUGGGACUGGAACACGGCCCAGACUCCUACGGGAGGCAGCAGUGGGGAAUCUUCCGCAAUGGACGAAAGUCUGACGGAGCAACGCCGCGUGAGUGAUGACGGCCUUCGGGUUGUAAAGCUCUGUUAAUCGGGACGAAAGGCCUUCUUGCGAAUAGUGAGAAGGAUUGACGGUACCGGAAUAGAAAGCCACGGCUAACUACGUG